rnacentral:lncRNA from 1 species
AGUUUAUUUCAGAUGCCUAUGAUGUUUAACACCAGUGAGCAAAUGACCUUGGUAUGUACAAGAUAUCUGUAAAAUCCGUUCUGUAGUUUGCCAAUGUCCAUUGUUUUUGUGUGUUGUUUUUCAUUUUUGCUUAUUUAAAAUAUGUUUCUCUGGGUCAUAGCAUUGCAUAGAUGACUAUACAGUAAUAAUAUAAAAUGGGAUAAAAAUAGAAAAUUCCAGAAUCAGGGCAUAGUUCCCAAGCAUCAUGUAUCUGGCGGAGGUAGUGCUGGUGGAAAACUCACAGGAUGCAGCAAUAAGAAAACACAUACCCUAUGCUAAUCUCUCGCUUUUAUCUGUUAAGCAUAUCCAUAUCACCUAACAGCUGCAUCCAGUGAUGCAAGACGUAGGUAGGCGAGGUAAAAGGGUGGGCCACUGACGCAAAUCAAGUAACCGGCAGCAUUCAAAGGGCUGGCCUUGCAUAUGCAUGCAAGGCUGCCCACCAAUCACACAGGCUGGCCAACUAAGGGCAUACUAAGCAGACAGUGCCCUGAGCUUGGCAAUAAUGCUAAUGAUAUGUUCACCCUACCCUUUCUGAGGACGGUCCCCUAGCACUCACUUGUCCACUCCUCUCUUUACCUUCUUAGGAGCAAACGGAAGCUCCUGGUAUGCAAUCUGGAACAGAGAACAUGGAUUUAGUAAGUGUAGAAGAAAGGGGACAUGAAACAGUGUUAGAGAGACCAAAGCAGCAAGAGCAUUUGCAUAGUGCGCAAAGUCAGUACUUAAUUGCCUCAACAGAAAGCAAGAACAUGUUAAAAGCAGUAAAAAUAAAUAAAUCCAUAGAUAUGGGCCCGGAGCUACAGCUCCAUUAGCCCCUAUAUUUAUCCGGCCCUGCCCAGAAUGGAAAGAAAAGAGACAUGCGAGAAUUUCAUGUGGCAGCAUGGAGAGAAAAAUAGCGGCACAUGUUAGUAGUGAUUCAGCGUACUGUGGUUUAUACACUAAUGUGUAAUCUUUGGUGAAGUGUCAGCAAAGACCUAAAAUGUAAGAGGAUAAAUUAUAUUGGAUCAUAUGGAUGACACCAAUCACUUGAUUACCUAGUUUCUCUUUAGUUUUGUAAAUAUUUUAAAUAUUAUAUUGGCUGUUUAGGAGCAUCAGUUAGGAGUUUAAUAAAAAGUUUAAAUUCUUUAGAUAACAAGAUUCCAAUGAUGAGCAGGACACAGAAUAAUAAAACUUUUAAUGGAUAGACUUGUGUGAGAAGGUUAUAUAUAUAUGUUUGCAUGGGAAGGGUUGGAUUGGGAAAGUGACAUAGGGAAAAAGAGUGCUUGUCGGAUGAGAGAGGCAAUGUUACAUGUGUUGGAAGGGAAUGGGCAAGUCGUAUAUGAAAGACAAAAUGAGCAAUGACAUAGGAGCAAUAGGAUAAGUAAAUUACAUGGAGAGGGAGAAUUGUGUAAACAAAAGUAACUGACAUGAAAAUGAAGAUACUAAAGCCAAGGACGGGAAUAUCAUAUAUUAUAUUAUAAUGCAUCUGUUACGGUAAUGAACUGCAUGGCAACUGCAAGACAAUUAUAGCAAAAUAUGUCAAAAACAAUCAAUUCUGCAGAUAAAGAGUGGGGUGGCUUUUAUUCUGAAUAAAGUUUAAGGCAUUGCUGACAUGAAAAGACAAAUAGGCGAUGUAGCAUAGUGUGUUUAAUACAGUUGAGCAGAUUUGGUAUGAUCUCACAACAUAACAGACAUCAUUAAAGAAGAGUGAAUGCGGAAAGUGAAGAAACCCAAGAAGAGAUAGAACGGUCUAUUUUUUCAGAAGAUGGUAAAGUAACACUUUAAAUCACAUCCUGUUUGUUACAUCAGCCUACCAUAUACCAAAACUCCUGCAGUACAAAAAUGAUAGCUUAAAGGGAGUAAUGGCCUUCUAUACCUCAAUCAUCAGGUAAAAAGUCCCUGCAGGUGCAACAGUCCCCAAUGGAGGUGGGGCCAACUGUGGCGAGACCAACGAGGCAUUGGGGAAAAAAGGUAAGCUAAAUACCAUUUUACUCAAUUCUGGAGUGUGUAUGCGGACAUCUAUGUAGUUAGUCGAGCAUUAUAGCGUUCCUUUAAUCUGUGUCUCCAGAAUAGAAUGUAACAGGUGGAAGAAAUGAUUAGUAAACAAUAAAAAUAUGUUAAUAAAAAAAAACUUUGUUGAUAAACAAUUUGCUAGGUCAGCACUUUUUCCAGCUGAGGGUCUUUGGCAUAAAUGUUGCUAUUGUCAAUUCACUGUAAUUUGUUGUUUUAGGAAUUAAACCGUUUUGGGGUUUUUUUUGUUCCAAGGGCAAAUUAUCUCACUAGUGCAGGAAAGUGUUUACUUACUGUAUUACAAUCAUUGUUUCAGCAUGUUUAUUAUUGAAUCUUAACCUGACAUUAAUACUGAAAUCCGAUAUUUCACAGGAGUUGGGCUACUGCAGUCAGUCUAGUAAAUGGAAAAGUAAAAGAAUCGUGUAAGAAGAAAGUUAUGUACAGAUCAAAUAUGUUAUUCAUAAGCACAGUUAUGGCACAGAUCCAGAUGAAACAAUGUAAUUACCUGUCCUGAAGCAAUUGG